rnacentral:rRNA from 1 species
GAUGAACGCUGGCGGCGUGCCUAAUACAUGCAAGUCGAGCGAACAGACGAGGAGCUUGCUCCUCUGACGUUAGCGGCGGACGGGUGAGUAACACGUGGAUAACCUACCUAUAAGACUGGGAUAAAUUCGGGAAACCGGAGCUAAUACCGGAUAAUAUAUUGAACCGCAUGGUUCAAUAGUGAAAGACGGUUUUGCUGUCACUUAUAGAUGGAUCCGCGCCGCAUUAGCUAGUUGGUAAGGUAACGGCUUACCAAGGCAACGAUGCGUAGCCGACCUGAGAGGGUGAUCGGCCACACUGGAACGGAGACACGGUCCAGACUCCUACGGGAGGCAGCAGUAGGGAAUCUUCCGCAAUGGGCGAAAGCCUGACGGAGCAACGCCGCGUGAGUGAUGAAGGUCUUCGGAUCGUAAAACUCUGUUAUUAGGGAAGAACAAAUGUGUAAGUAACUAUGCACGUCUUGACGGUACCUAAUCAGAAAGCCACGGCUAACUACGUG